rnacentral:rRNA from 1 species
ACUCCGAAUGCCAUGUACUUAUACUCGGGAGUCAGACUGCGAGUGAUAAGAUCCGUAGUCGAAAGGGAAACAGCCCAGACCACCAGUUAAGGUCCCCAAAUAUAUGUUAAGUGGAAAAGGAUGUGGGGUUGCUUAGACAACCAGGAUGUUGGCUUAGAAGCAGCCACCAUUGAAAGAGUGCGUAAUAGCUCACUGGUCGAGUGACCCCGCGCCGAAAAUGUACCGGGGCUAAACAUAUUACCGAAACUGUGGAUGAACCUCUUUAGAGGUUCGUGGUAGGAGAGCGUUCUAAGGGCGGUGAAGUCAGACCGGAAGGACUGGUGGAGCGCUUAGAAGUGAGAAUGCCGGUAUGAGUAGCGAAAGAAGGGUGAGAAUCCCUUCCACCGAAUAUCUAAGGUUUCCUGAGGAAGGCUCGUCCGCUCAGGGUUAGUCGGGACCUAAGCCGAGGCCGAUAGGCGUAGGCGAUGGACAACAGGUAGAGAUUCCUGUACCAGUGCUAAUUGUUUAACCGAUGGGGUGACACAGAAGGAUAGGGAAUCGCACGAAUGGAAAUGUGCGUCCAAGCAGUGAGUGUGAGAAGUAGGCAAAUCCGCUUCUCGCGAAGCAUGAGCUGUGAUGGGGAAGGAAAUUAAGUACGGAAGUUCCUGAUUUCACGCUGUCAAGAAAAGCCUCUAGGAAGAGUAGUACUGCCCGUACCGCAAACCGACACAGGUAGAUGAGGAGAGAAUCCUAAGGUGAGCGAGAGAACUCUCGUUAAGGAACUCGGCAAAAUGACCCCGUAACUUCGGGAGAAGGGGUGCUCUAUUAGGGUGCAAGCCCGAGAGAGCCGCAGUGAAUAGGCCCAGGCGACUGUUUAGCAAAAACACAGGUCUCUGCAAAACCGUAAGGUGACGUAUAGGGGCUGACGCCUGCCCGGUGCUGGAAGGUUAAGAGGAGUGCUUAGCUUCGGCGAAGGUACGAAUUGAAGCCCCAGUAAACGGCGGCCGUAACUAUAACGGUCCUAAGGUAGCGAAAUUCCUUGUCGGGUAAGUUCCGACCCGCACGAAAGGCGCAACGAUCUGGGCACUGUCUCAACGAGAGACUCGGUGAAAUUAUAGUACCUGUGAAGAUGCAGGUUACCCGCGACAGGACGGAAAGACCCCGUGGAGCUUUACUGCAACCUGAUAUGGAAUGUUUGUACCGCUUGUACAGGAUAGGUAGGAGCCGAAGAGACGUGUGCG